rnacentral:lncRNA from 1 species
CUUGUGGCACAUGGAAGUUUCCAGGCUAGGAGUUGAAUCAAAGCUACAGCUGCUGGCUUACACCACAGCCACAGCAACUCAGCGUCCGAGCCACGUCUGUGACCUACACCACAGCUCAUGGCAACACCCACUGAGCAGGCUAGGGAUCAAACUCACAUCCUCAUGAUACUAGUGGGGUUCAUUACCCACUGAGCCACAAUGGGAACACCUUAUGAAAGUUUUUACGUUAGUGUUAUUAGUUUAAAAAAAUACAGAAGGAUAUUAUACAAAAAGACCCAAGACAACAUUAUUUCAUCAUUAAGCUGGUAAUAGCGAUUCAUUUUUAGUAGAGCCUCACCAUAAAUCCCAUCGAAAUAAUGUCAUUUACCUGUACCCAUGACUCUCUUUGGCUUUUUUCUAAAUUUGGUUUUGGUUUUUGGUUUUCUUCAUUUUACGGCUGCACCUGAGGGAUAUGGAAGUUCCUAGGCUAGGAAUCAAAUCAGAGUCACAGCUGCCAGCCUACACCACGGUCACAGCCACACCAGAUUCGAGCCACAUCUGCCACCUACAUUGUAGCUUGUAGCAAUGCCAGAUCCUUAGCCCACUGAGAGGGCCAGGGAUAGAACAUGCAUCCUCAUGGACACUAUGUCAAGUUCUUGACCCACUGCGUCACAAUGGCAACUCCAGUUUUUGGCUUUAUCGGUAUAUAAGAGAGGUAGGAAUUCCCGUCAUGGCUUUGCGGAAACAAUCUGAAUAGCAUCCAUGAGGACGCAGGUUUGAUCCCUGGCCUCACUCAGUGGGUUAAGGAUCCGGUGAGCUGUGGUGUAGGUCACAGACUCGGCUUGGAUACCUUGUUGCUGUGGCUGUGGCAUAGACCCCUAGCCUGGGAACCUCCAUAUGCUGUGGGUGUGGCCCUAAAAAUAUAAAACAAAAAAGAGAGGUAAGCAUUUACUGUAAAACAAUGUAUGUCUAGUUUUAUUGUAUCCCUAAUUAACACAUGAUAAAAUAAUUCUCGUUAUGUUGUCAGUCGUAAAUUAUCUUUUCCCUCUGUUUUAGAAGGCUUGUCCUGACUGUAGGUCAAAGUCAGCUGGGGCAUGGUCUGAAAUUCAGGCUCCCAGGUCCUUCUCGGGGCAAUGAGAGGUUAGAGUCAGGCGUUUGAAGUAGAUGACACUUUCCUGGGCUCUAGGGAAAUUUAGUUUCAUUUCCUCUGGGCAGUCCCUCUGGAUCUUUUAAAUUCUAAAUGCCCUUCAAUUGAUUGAUUACUUUUGUAGGAACUUCCUAGUGUCAGAAAUUAAACUGAUAGACUUCUCCUUUCCAGGGUUGUUGAUUUCAUACUUGUCUGGGUCUCAGCCCUUCUCACCUCCAUCUAGCAUCUACGAAUGAGCCUGGAAAUAGAGAAAUGUUGCUGCGUUCUCAUGCUACUUCUUUUCAAGGUGGACCUCGGUGUCAGGGUUGCAUUAAUCACCCUCCCCAGUUACGACAUACUGUCAUCCUGGGUCAGUGUAAAGCCCUUUCUUGUUUUGUUUUUCCCUUUUUUAUCCCUUUCCCUACUUACACACCCUGGCACACACACACCUGCCAUGCUUAUCAUUCUAAUGCCUUUUAUGCAAAUGUUUAUAAGUAUUUUUUCCUGUAAACUUAGUACUGCCAGAUAAAAUACAGAACAUCCAGUUCAGUUUGAGGUUCAGAUCCACAGUAAAUAACUUUAAGUAUAACAAGUAAUUUUUAGCAUAAUUACUCGUUAUCUGAAAGUCAAAUGUAACUGGACAUUCUGUUAAGAGUUUCUGUUGUUGUUUUAUUUGGGCUAAAUCUGGAAGCCUUAAGUAAAAUGUAAGUCCUCACUUACAUAAAUAUUAUGCUACAGCGUUCAAUUAAUUUUUUAUUUCAUUUUGAUCUAACUUGACCCAUCUGUGUGGCUGUUUUUACAUCUAGUCAGAUUCUUCUGGCUGCUCCAUCAAAUGCCAAGAUGCGUGUGCCACUCUGUAUUAUCUCUGGUUCCAUGGGGACACCAAAGUUUCCUCCAACACCCCCCUAACAAGAGCAACGCCACAGUGAACACCUUUGUCCAUGUCUCCCAGUGGACCUGUGUGAUCAUUUUUUUUGGACAUAUUAAAUAUGGUAUACACAUCCUUAAUUUGAUUAAGACUGUCAGUUUGAUCAGAGCAGCUGCCCAGGUCAACACAGCCAUGGGUCCCUGUGUUUCCACAUUCCUGCUAACAGGCGGCAUAAUCCACCUGCCUAAAUUACCUCUAAUUAAGUAUAAACUGCCAGCUCUUUCUUGCUCUUGGGUUUCUCUUAUGAUUUGAAGCAUCUUUUCACAGUAAACUUUUGGUUUCCACUUUUACUAACUGCUUGAUGCCUUUGCCCAUUUAUCUAUGGAAAUUCCUAUUUUUUCUUCUUUUUUUUAGGAAUUCCUGGAAUUUUUUAGAUAUUAGUCCCUUGUUCGAUGUUAAACAUUGCAAAUAUCUCCCUCUAUUUUCCUUCCCAGUAAGUUUAUAAUGAUGUCCUUUAUUUUGAUAUGAUCAACUAUGUCUUGUGCUGGGAAGUUUUGUCCAGAAGGUCUUUCUCUAUCUUUGAAUCACAGAGAUAGCCUCCAACAUCAACUUCUAUUAACUUUGUCAUUUACCUUUAAAUUUUAUGUAUUUAAUUCAUCUGGAGUCUACCUUUGCAUGCGAUGUGUUAUGUGGCAUCCAGUUUUAUUUUUCUCUGUGUAAUAAUCCAGUUUUCCCAACACUUCCAUUAAACAACACAUCUUUUUCCCAUUGAUUUUUUUUGGGGGGGACUAAGUUUCCACAUAUACUUAGACCUCUCCAAGAGCUUUCCUCUCAGAGUUCCCGUUGUGGCUCAGUGGUUAAUGAAUCCGACUAGGAACCAUGAGGUUGCGGGUUCAAUCCCUGGCCUUGCUCAGUGGGUUAAGGAUCCAUCGUUGCCGUGACUGUGGUGUAGGUUGCAGAGGCAGCUCGGAUCCUGCGUUGCUGUGGCUCUGGCAUAGGCCAGUGGCUACAGCUCCGAUUCAACCCCUAGCCUGGGAACCUCCAUAUGCCACAGGAGCGGCCCAAAAAAUCACAAAAAAAAAGACAAAAAAAAAAAAAAGAGCUUUCCUCUCUGUUCUAUCGGUCUAACCAUUUUUCCAUAAGUCCAUUCUACAUUGCCUUUAUUAUUAAGGCUUUGAAAUUGUCCUAAUAUCCAGUGGGCAUAUCCCUCCCAUUCUUUGCUCUUUUUUAGAGCUUGCUUACUUUUUUGUGGACCCUUGUUUCUUCCCUAUAUUUUGAAGCUUUAUAUCAGUUUAAAUUGUUUAUAUGUAUAGAUUACUGAAUUCAUCAAAAUAUCCAACUAGAAUUUUUAUUGGUGUUGCCCUGAGUUUACAAAUUAGUUAAGAGAGGAGUUCCCGUCGUGGCGCAGUGGUUAACGAAUCCAACUAGGACCCAUGAAGUUGCGGGUUCGGUCCCUGCCCUUGCUCAGUGGGUUAACGAUCCUGAGUUGCCGUGAGCUGUGGUGUAGGUCGCAGAUGUGGCUCGGAUCCCGUGUUGCUGUGGCUCUGGCGUAGGCCGGUGGCUACAGCUCCGAUUCGACCUCUAGCCUGGGAACCUCCAUAUGCCGCGGGAGCGGCCCAAGAAAUAGCAAAAAGACAAAAAAAAAUUAAUUAAGAGAAAUACAACAUCUCCAUAGAUUAUCCUCUGAUUCUCAGAGUUUACUUUUAUCCAGAAAAAAAAUUUAGAUAUGUCAAUAUCUAGAUACUUGUUCAUAUUGUCAAUAUCUUUUUGUGCUGAAAUGUCUAAUGGACUACGACUGAUGUAGGAAAUACUGAUGGUUUUUUUUUAAGUGAUCUCAUAUCCAGCAAAAUCCUGUCAAGCCUUCUGAUUACUCUUAAUGGUUGAGCCUGUUACAUUAUCUACGUAGAUACUCAUAUCAUGGGUAAGCAGUUUAGUUUCUUCCUUUCCAACCCUUUCUCCUCUUACUUAUUUCCUGGUCACCUUAACCAGUAGCUCCACUGUGUUAAACAGCAGCAGCAGCACAGGGAUAAGUUACAGUAAUGUCUCUGGCCCCUCGUAGGGAUGAGACCUUGGGUGAGUUUCUUUACCGCCUUGACUCCAUUUUCCUAACCGAUAAACCUUCCUCAUAGAGUUGUGGUGAUCACAGUAUAAACCCAAUGUUCCUGGCACACGGUGGGCGCUCGAAGCAAAAGUGUAGUUUUACUGAUUCCCCUAAUAAAGACACAAGUCAUCCAUUUCCUCGGUGUCCCAUUCCCACUGUUACAGAAAGUUGUACCGUUUAGAAUAUGCGAGAUAGCCCAGGGAACUAUAUCCAAUCACUUGUGAUGGAACACGAUGGAGGACGAUGUGGGAAAAAGAGUAUACAUAUAUGACUGUCACAUAUAUGUAUGACAGCAGAUUGACAGAACAUUGUAAUCAACUAUAAUAGAAAAAUAGGAGUUCCCAUCGUGGUGCAGUGGUUAACGAAUCCGACUAGGAACCAUGAGAUUGCGGGUUCAGUCCCUGCCCUUGCUCAGUGGGUUAAUGAUCCGGCGUUGCCGUAAGCUGUGGUGUAGGUUGCAGACACGGCUCGGAUCCCGUGUUGCUGUGGCUCUGGUGUAGGCCGGUGGCUACAGCUCCAAUUGGACCCCUAGCCUGGGAACCUCCAUAUGCCGCGGGAGUGGCCCAAAGAAAUAGCAAAAAGACAAAAAAAAAAAAGAAAGAAAGAAAAAGAAAAAGAAAAAUCUUAUUUAAAAAAGAAUAUGUAAGAUAUCUAAAGUAGAGAGGUUGUCAUUAUUAUUUGAAUCCAAAAUAAAUGACUUACAAGACUAGUGGAAAGAAUUGCCACCCCUACCAACUCUAGAGCAUUGCUCACAGAUAAACUAGUCAAGAAUAACCAGAAUAAAUUAGCAAUAGCAGCAGCAGAUUCACAGACCACUCCCAACUUUUCACUGUAACUUCAUAACGUAUGUGUCAGCAGACUCAUUAUGGACAUAUUCUUUUUCUUUUUUUCUUUUUAGAAAAAAACACACAGCCAUGGCAACACCAGAUUCGAGCUGCAUCUGCGACCUAUGCCAUAGGUUAUGGCAACACUGGAUCCUUAACCCACUGAGUGAGGCCAGGGAUUAAACCCAUAUCCUCACAUCCUGCAUCCUCACAGAGACAAUGUUGCAUCCUUAACCUGCUGAGCCACAUGGGGAACUCCAUGUUUUUAAAAUAAGUUUUCAUGAUCAAGAUGAAACUCAUGGACUUGGAGAACAGACUUGUGGUUGCCAAGGGGUAGAGGGAUGUAGAGGGAGUGGGAGACUGGGGUUAAUAGAUCCAACUAUUGCAUUUCAAAUGGAUAAGCAAUGAGAUCCUGCUGUAUAGCACAGGGAACUGUAUCCAGUCACUUGUGAUGGAACAUGAUGGAGGAUAAUGUGAGAAAAAGAAUAUACGUGUAUAUACAUAUGACUAGGUCGCUUUGUUAUACAGUAGAAAUUGACAGAACACUGUAAAUCAACUAUAAUGGAAAAAAUAAAAAUCAAAAAAAUUUAAUUUAAAAAAUGAUGGUGAUAGAGAAUCUGAAAUUGAAUGCCAUAUGUUUGAAAUUGAUGGGCAAUGAUUGAAAAAGAGGAGGAAAAAAGCAGUGUAAAUAUCAGUUUUUAAUUUAACCUAAAUAUUUUGGUGAGGGAAAAUACAAUUACUUGUUAUCUAUCAUGCAAAGUUUUAAUUUGUAUAUAACAAAUGAAACUUUCCACAGAAAAGAAAAUCAUGGACUUGGAGAAUAGACUUGUGGUUGCCAAGGGGGAGGCGGAGGGAGGGGGAUGGAUGGGGUGCUUGGGGUUAACAGAUGCAGACUAUUGCCUCUGGAAUGGAUUAGCAAUGAGAUCCUGCUGUGUAGCACUGGCAACUAUGUCUGGUCACUUAUGAUGGAGCAUGAUAAUGUGAGAAAAAAGAAUGUAUACAUGUAUGUGUAACUGGGUCACCAUGCCAUACAGUAGAAAAUUGACAGAACACUGUGAACCAGCUAUAAUGGAAAAAAAUGAAACUCAUUAUAUUUUUUAAAAAAAAGUAUAAUCCAGGAGUUCCUGCUGUGGUGUAGUGGGUUAAGAAUCUGAAUGCAGCAUCUCAGAUCACUGUAGAAGCAGGAGUUCAAUCCCCGGCCCAGUUCAGUGGGUUAAAGGAUCCAGUGUUGCCACAGCUGUGGCACGGGUCACAGCUGGGGUUCAGAUUCAAUCCCUGGCCCAGGAACUUUCAUAUGCUGCAGGCGCAGCCAUAAAAAAAAUAAUAAACAUUUAACAGUACAAGCCAUUAGGCAAUUUUCUUUAUUAAAUUAGAUUUUAAUAGCAUUAAGAAAGGGUAGAGGGGAAGGAUGGACUGAGAGGUUUGGGAUUUGUCUGUGCACACCAAGGUGUAUGAAUGACUGGCCAACAGGGACCUGCUGUAUAGCACAGGGAACUCCACC